rnacentral:rRNA from 1 species
UACGGGGGGGGCAAGCGUUGUUCGGAAUUACUGGGCGUAAAGGGCUCGUAGGUGGCCAACUAAGUCGGACGUGAAAUCCCUCAGCUUAACUGGGGAACUGCGUCCGAUACUGGAUGGCUUGAGUUUGGGAGAGGGAUGCGGAAUUCCAGGUGUAGCGGUGAAAUGCGUAGAUAUCUGGAGGAACACCGGUGGCGAAGGCGGCAUCCUGGACCAACACUGACACUGAGACGCGAAAGCGUGGGGAGCGAACAGG